AUCCCGUUAGCUGAUCUUGAAACUAUGUGCACACAUAUAAAUAUUUAUUUUUUCCCCUCAUGAAUUAUAUUGUUUGCCCAAAAUAUCGGUUGAUUAUUUCAUCUAGAAACAGUGUGAAUGUUGUUUGAAUUUGGUAUGUUCACUCUGUGACAAGUGAAAGUGAUAUGUAAUUCAUGCAUAUGGUGAUUUUUGGUUUCAGGAUGUAAAAAAUGAAAUUUACUUACUGAUAAAAUUCAGUGUAACCAUAUUCAUUAAGCCUCUGUGUCUCUCUUAGAAGCCCUACCUCCUCAAUACAAAUAAAACUCUGCAUAGUGACUUGUGCCAUGACUAAUAUUAUGUUACAGCUUUGGUUCAAAUUUCAUAAAUCAUGAACCGAUGUACAGUAACUGCAAAAUGUAAACAAUAUACAGACUGUUAUUUGCCUUUAAGACUCCUAAGUCACAUAUCACUGAUAUAAGAUUCAUAGUAAAUUUGUUGUUUCAAGAUCACUGUAUAUAUUAUUUCUCAUGUUUCAGGAUUGGUACCCCCCCUCCCUUCCAGACAAACAGAAAUAUAGAUGAUACAUCCCAAAAAAUAAAUAUGAAAUUAACUCACACAAACAAAGGUUUCAAGAUACUGUGUACAAUUUCAUUCACAACUGUAUUUUAAACUACAUACAUACGGAAACCAACCUGUCACUCGACCAGUUAAUUGUUUCAAAAUAUUCUGCUUUGAUAUUUAUAACUACAUGUUUAAUACACAUGAAGAAUUUCGUUUCCAUAGAUGUCCCCUCUGAUUUAUCCUUCCAUAAAAGUACAAUAAAAUUCCAAGUGAUAUUCUUUGGUCAAUACAUAAAAAUUACUUAUAAUCAACAAUGUUUAUUUAAUUCUUUAUAAAACGUCGCACACAAGCAGCUGCAUUGGAUACAAAAUAGACAGUUUAAAGACAGAUCACUCGACUAGUUUUCUCUCAGUUUGAUCUUCGUCCUUCGAUCUUUGAUAAGUAUUACCGUUAGCUAUUCCACAAUUUGUUGAAAGAAAGCUCGUAGAAUGCAUAGAUAAUAUAUACCCACUCUUAAAUCUCACUAGGAAAGUUUUAUUUAUCAUAAUAAUAUGAAA